UACGUAGGAUGCAAGCGUUGUCCGGAUUUAUUGGGCGUAAAGAGUUCGUAGGUGGUUCGUUAAGUCUGAUGUUAAAGACUGGGGCUCAACCCUGGAAGUGCAUUGGAUACUGGCGGACUUGAGUGUGGUAGAGGCAAUCGGAAUUCCAGGUGUAGCGGUGAAAUGCGUAGAUAUCUGGAAGAACACCGGUGGCGCAAGCGGAUUGCUGGGCCAUAACUGACACUGAGGAACGAAAGCUAGGGGAGCGAAUGGG
rnacentral:rRNA from 1 species